AAUGAACGUUGGCGGCGUGGCUUAGGCAUGCAAGUCGAGCGAGAACCGUAGCAAUACGGGGACAGCGGCGAAAGGGAGAGUAAUACGUGGAUACCUACCCUCGGGUUCGGGAUAGCUCCGGGAAACUGCAGGUAAUACCGAAUAACAUCCCCGGAUCAAAGGUGUGAUUCCGCCCGGGGAGGGGUCCGCGUCCUAUUAGCUUGUUGGUGAGGUAACGGCUCACCAAGGCGAAGAUGGGUACGGGGUGUGAGAGCAUGCCCCCGCUCACUGGGACUGAGACACUGCCCAGACACCUACGGGUGGCUGCAGUCGAGAAUCUUCGGCAAUGGGCGCAAGCCUGACCGAGCGACGCCGCGUGCGAGAUGAAGGCCUUCGGGUUGUAAAUCGCUGUCAGUGGGGAGGAAAUGCCAUAGGGUUCUCUCUAUGGUUUGACCUAUCCGCAGAGGAAGGAUGGGCUAAGUUCGUGCCAGCCGCCGCCGUAA
rnacentral:rRNA from 1 species